UACGGAGGAUGCGAGCGUUAUCCGGAUUUAUUGGGUUUAAAGGGUGCGUAGGCGGAGUGCCAAGUCAGCGGUAAAAAUUCGGGGCUCAACCCCGUCGUGCCGUUGAAACUGGCGCCCUUGAGUGGGCGAGAAGUACGCGGAAUGCGUGGUGUAGCGGUGAAAUGCAUAGAUAUCACGCAGAACUCCGAUUGCGAAGGCAGCGUACCGGCAUCCAACUGACGCUGAGGCACGAAAGCGUGGGGAUCAAACAGG
rnacentral:rRNA from 1 species